UUUCUUCAAUCCAACGGUUAGGAAGGUCUAUUUGGAGGUUGGAAAAGUAUUUAAGAGGGAGCGCCGACCAACCACCGCGCCGAUGGUGCCGCGGCCGAAAGCUACUACCGGAGCGCGACCACCCUAGGCAGCCACCCCCCUGAUCCGAGAAGAGGGUGAGAUCAGGCUCCCCCUAGUUGGGGAAAGAAGAAGAGAGUCUUCUCUCUCUACUUUCUCUCUCCUCUGUAGUUUCUCUCUCUUCCUAUUUCUCUCUUUAUCACUCUCUCUACUUAUUCUCUCUCUAUAUGUUUUAGUGGACUAGUGGCGGGACUAGGUAUUUUGUGAAGUUGGGCUGACCCUUAGAGGGGUCUCGGUCAGUGUUGUGCAACCUAGAGCUUCGGGUUGGUGUUGGUCUCGGAUCGGUGUUAUGCAGUCAUAGGAAGGACUUCGGGUCGGCGUUAUGCACCCGUACGAGGAGUUUCAAAUUUUUGGGUUGACUUCUCUCUAUCUUGAUUUUCUCUCUCUACUUUCUGCUCUCUCCACUUUCUCUCUCCUCUCUUCAUUUUUCUCUCUA
rnacentral:lncRNA from 1 species